CAAUUCAGUCCCGCCGGGUCCCGCGCGACCCUCGGCGUCCGCUCCCCGCUGGGCGUCGACGCCCGGACUGAGCUGCCCGCCCCGGCAGAGCGCAGGCCGGCGCCCGGUGCGGACCGCGGAGCGGUCUCUGCUCGCCUCAGAGGCUUCAGCCCGGCCUGUCGUCCCGCAGACGUGACUGGUGCCCGCUGCGUCGGGAGCCGCGCCGGGCGCACGCGCCUGGGCGUCAGCUGGACCACCCACGGAAACUUACAUCCAGGAGGGCUCUUCAUACCAAUUUCACCAUGCUGCCUCUUCCUUGCAAGUUCUUCUUUCCUAAGACACCCUAGCUCUAGAAACAUGAAAACUGAGAGGUGGUAACUGGAGAGCCGUCACAUGCCCAUCUUUUCUGUAGAUCUGUUCCAGUUGCAGAAGAUAACAGCCAUUGGGCC
rnacentral:lncRNA from 1 species